CGAGAAUAGCUUGCUAUUCGGCGUCGAGCGGCGGACGGGUGAGUAAUGCUUGGGAACAUGCCUUGAGGUGGGGGACAACAGUUGGAAACGACUGCUAAUACCGCAUAAUGUCUUCGGACCAAAGGAGGGGAUCUUCGGACCUUUCGCCUUUAGAGUGGCCCAAGUGAGAUUAGCUAGUUGGUGGGGUAAAGGCUCACCAAGGCGACGAUCUCUAGCUGGUUUGAGAGGAUGAUCAGCCACACUGGGACUGAGACACGGCCCAGACUCCUACGGGAGGCAGCAGUGGGGAAUAUUGCACAAUGGGGGAAACCCUGAUGCAGCCAUGCCGCGUGUGUGAAGAAGGCCCUCGGGUUGUAAAGCACUUUCAGUCGUGAGGAAAGGUUUGUAGCUAAUAUCUGCAAGCUGUGACGUUAGCGACAGAAGAAGCACCGGCUAACUCCGUGCCAGCAGCCGCGGUAAUACGGAGGGUGCGAGCGUUAAUCGGAAUUACUGGGCGUAAAGCGUGCGUAGGCGGUUUCUUAAGCGAGAUGUGAAAUCCCGGGGCUCAACCUCGGAACUGCAUUUCGAACUGGGUGACUAGAGUACUGUAGAGGGUGGUGGAAUUUCCAGUGUAGCGGUGAAAUGCGUAGAGAUUGGAAGGAACAUCAGUGGCGAAGCGGCCACCUGGACAGAUACUGACGCUGAGCACGAAAGCGUGGGGAGCAAACAGGAUUAGAUACCCUGUAGUCCACGCCGUAAACGAUGUCAACUAGCUGUCUGUGUACUUGAUACGUGGGUAGCGUAGCU
rnacentral:rRNA from 1 species